rnacentral:tRNA from 1 species
UGGCGGGUAGCUUAAUUGGCAAAGCGCCUGACUUUGGAUCAGGAGGAUGCAGGUUCGAGUCCUGCCCCGCCAG